rnacentral:lncRNA from 1 species
UUUUUUCUUUUUGGUUUGGGCUGAGUGAGUAAUUGAUAAAUCAGAAGUUGGGCCACUUUUUGUUUAGCCCAAUUCUCAAAUGAAUGAAUAAACAAAUGGUCCAAUUUCCAAAUGAUCAAACCAUUUUCAAAUCGUGAAAGCCAAAAAUCCAAACGUGAAAUGCCCAAAUCGUGAAAGUCAAACCCUUUUCAUCCCUUCUCCAAUCUCCAAUCCACACAGCGCAGCGACGAAGAAG